rnacentral:lncRNA from 1 species
GUCAGUCUUGGAAGCGUCAGAAUGCGAUCAAAAUAUCACACAACACUUAUACUGUUACAAGGUGCCAUGUAAGAUGUGGAAACAGAAAUAGGUCAGUAACCACCUGAUGUCUUCCUAAUGACUCGGCUGGGAUUCCAACAAGCUCACAAUGGGAGUGAAUGUAGAUUUUGGUGUGUUUUUCUCAAAUUCCUAAGGGCCCCAUGGAGAUCCACUUUCAACAAAACUUGAAAGAAAAAACAAGCUGCCAUGAAUAGCCAGAACCCAAGGAAUGAGGUCAUCCUUCCCCUGGAAAUUCCCUUCCACAUCUACUGGGCUUUUGUGUCCACCUGGAUGAGAAGGGCCACAGAUUCUAGGAUUACAGGAAUGCACCACCAUACCCAGUUUUAUGUGAUGCCGAGGAUCAAACUGGAAGUUUCCUGCACGUUAAGCAAGUACUUCACCAAUUGAGCUACAUCCUCAGCCUGACCCAGUCUGUUUUUAAAUUAUGGCAUUUAGCUACUAUAAUCCAACUCUGAAACGAAAGCUGCACUCUGGACUACUCUCUUUGCCACUAUGUUGACAACUAUGACUUUGAUGUGAUUGGAAAGCUUUCCAAAUAAAUUCAAGAAUGCUGGUUUUUUGGGGGGUGGGGAGUUGGGCCUGCUGUGCCAAGUCAGAGGAUUAUAGUCAACUUGCAUCACAUCUUUCAGGACAGAAUUCUGGGAAGGCCUCCACAGAAGAACCAAAAAUUUGCAGACCACCACAGCAUCCAAGAUUACUUUGUGUUAACUCAAACGGCCAAAGAAACUAUGAAAUAGACAUGCUGGCUUGAGCUUUGUGUCAAAACCCACGUGGCCAUUACAGACAGGAAUGGUUUGGUCUUCUGACACAAUUUGAGUUAGACUUUUGGAAAAAAAUAGGUUUACUUUAUUUUAUAUGUAUGAGUAUAUUUCCUGUGUGUAUGUCUGUGGACCACAUGCCUGGCUGGUGCAUCAGAAGAAGGCAUCAGAUCCCCUGAAAAGUGGUGUUCUAUGAAAAAGCAGUGUGCUCUUAACACAUGAGCAACCUUUGUAGCCCCUCCAGUUAGACUCAGUUAGACUCUUGAAGAAGUCAAGGUUCUCUGAGAUCUCUUUUGCAUGUGAGACUUUAGGCUUAGAUCACCUUAACAUUUUCCUUUAUGAACCGUAUUGGAUAUGGAAACUGUGUUGUCUGAUUUUUAAAUUUGAAAGGUAUACAAGGUAGAUAAUCACAGAAUAAGAAUUUUCCAGUGGCAGUUACAUAAUUUGUGUCUUCUGAGUCUCCUAUAAGUAA